AACGAACGCUGGCGGCAGGCCUAACACAUGCAAGUCGAGCGAGGACUUCGGUUCUAGCGUCGGACGGGUGAGUAACGCGUGGGAAUGUGCCCUUCUCUACGGAAUAGCCCUGGGAAACUGGGAGUAAUACCGUAUACGCCCUAUUGGGGAAAGAUUUAUCGGAGAAGGAUCAGCCCGCGUUGGAUUAGGUAGUUGGUGGGGUAAUGGCCUACCAAGCCGACGAUCCAUAGCUGGUUUGAGAGGAUGAUCAGCCACACUGGGACUGAGACACGGCCCAGACUCCUACGGGAGGCAGCAGUGGGGAAUCUUAGACAAUGGGGGCAACCCUGAUCUAGCCAUGCCGGGUGAGUGAUGAAGGCCUUAGGGUUGUAAAGCUCUUUCAGCUGGGAAGAUAAUGACGGUACCAGCAGAAGAAGCCCCGGCUAACUCCGUG
rnacentral:rRNA from 1 species